UACGAAGGGGGCUAGCGUUGCUCGGAAUCACUGGGCGUAAAGCGCACGUAGGCGGAUUGUUAAGUCAGGGGUGAAAUCCUGGAGCUCAACUCCAGAACUGCCUUUGAUACUGGCGAUCUCGAGUCCGGGAGAGGUGAGUGGAACUGCGAGUGUAGAGGUGAAAUUCGUAGAUAUUCGCAAGAACACCAGUGGCGAAGGCGGCUCACUGGCCCGGUACUGACGCUGAGGUGCGGAAAGCGUGGGGAGCAA
rnacentral:rRNA from 1 species